AACCAGGGAUGGGGCUGGGAUGGAACCAGGGAUGGGGCUGGGAUGGAACCAGGGAUGGAGCUGGGAUAGAACUGGGAUGGAACCAGGGAUGGAGCUGGGAUAGAACCAGAGAUAGGGAUGGAACCAGGGAUGGAACCAGGGAUGGAACCAGAGAUGGAGCAGGGAUGGGGCUGGGAUGGGAUGAGACAGGGAUGGAACCAGGGAUGGAACCAGGGAUGGGGAUGGCAUGAGGCUGGGAUGGGGCUGGGAUGGGAUGGGGCUGGGAUGGAACCAGGGUGGAGCCAGGAUGCAGCAGGGAUGUGGCUGGGAUGGAACAGGGAUAGGGAUGGGACUGGGAUGGAAUUGGGGUGGAGCUGGGAUGGAGCUGGAAUGGAACCAGGGUGGAGCUGGGAUGGAAUUGGGAUGGAACCAGGGAUAGAGCUGGGAUGGAACCAGGGUAGAGCUGGGAUGGAACCAGGGAUGGAGCUGGGAUGGAACCAGGGAUGGAGCUGGGAUAGAACUGGGAUGGAACCAGGGAUGGGACAGGGAUGGAGCCAGGAUGGAGCUCCAGGGAUGCAGCCCCUGGCACUGCCCAGGAACAUGGCUGAUCUCUCAAAACUGGGAAGUUCUGAUCCCACUUUUUGUUGAGUCCCUCGCACCCUGGAUCUGUGUCUGUGCUGAUGAUAAGAAUCACAGGGAAGGUGUUUGAACCUCAGAUCCUGGAGGAAAGAUGGAUCUGGGAGGACCUUGGGAAAGGUGUUUGAACCACAAAUCCUGGAGGAAAGAUGGAUCUGGGAGGACCUUGGGAAAGGUGUUUGAACCUUGGAUCCUGGAGGAAAGAUGGAUGUGGCAGGACCUUGGGAAAGGUGUUUUAACCCUGGAUCCUGGAGGAAAGAUGGAUUUGGCAGGACCUUGGAGCAGUUUCCCAGUAGCCAAAGGAGCUCCAAGAAGGAAUUCCCUGGAAAGGGAAAUUUUCACCUGGAUAAGGAGAAUGGCCUCGAGCUGAAGGAGGGAAGGUUUAGAUGGGAGGUAGGAAGAAAUUCCUGUCUGUGAGGGUGAGGAGGGGCUGGGAUGGAAUUCCCAGAGAAUCUGUUCCAUCCCUGGGAAUGUCCAAAGCCAGGCUGGAGCAUCCUGGGGUGCUGGAGGUGUCCCUGAAUGGCAGAGGAACAGGAUGAGCUUUAUUUAAAGCCCAACCCAAGCCAUCCCAGGAUUCUCCAUCCAUAUCAAUAAUCCUUCAAUAAUUCCAGUUAAACUGCUGAAUCCCAGUGAUUUUUGGGAGAUAUUUCUGCUGGAUUUAAGGAUCCUCCAAUUCCAAGCCUUCCAGAAGCCUCAACAGAGAAGAGGCCCUGCCUCUGCAGCCCUCCCUGAAUUGCUUUUUUCCUGCUCCAGAGCCUGAAUCCCAGGAGAAGCUCCAAGCAAUGUCCCCAGAUCAAAGCCAUCCUGCAGAUGAAGGCUCAAAUUGUGCAAUUUUGUGGGAUUUUCCCAGAUCUUUAUCUUUUGUGAGCUCCUGGUCAGCUCCCAGCCCUCCGGUCACUUGAUGUGGCUCUUGAAAGGCUUGUUUGGAAAGCAAUCCCAAAAAUCACAUUUCAAGGAGAGGUUCCUCCCUUCAGCACUUCCCAAAUUUGGGGUUUGGGGCUCAGAAUUUGGGGUCUGUGGGGCAGGGAGCCACAAAGAUGAUUUUCCCUUCGUUUUGGGGUGGAAAAACUCCUCCAAAAUCCAAUUUCCAGCUGGGAGAUUUGAGGGGAAGGCAAACCUUGGAGGCAGGGUUUGAAAAGAGAUUUAAACCAACCUAAGACUACACAAAGUGCUCCAAAUUUGGCUGAUUUUAAUUAAAGUGGAGUGAUUAAGCUGUCAGAGUGAGGAGAGGGAUGUGUUGUAGGAUCUCUUUAAUGGGGUUUGGAGUGUGAGGAGGAUCCUGCUGGAGGGGAGGAUCUUGUUUUCCUGACAGUUCAGGCUGCCAGAACAUGACUCAUGAAUUUAAAAAAAAAAAAAAAAAAAAAAAAAAAAGAAUUCUAACAGCAAUUUUAAACAGAAUUUUUAACCCUAUAAAAUCCCUUCCAGCAUCAGAGCAAUCCUGGUGCUUUGUAUGCUUUGUACCUCUCAAAUUGGGCAUUUUUUAGGGACUGGUUGUUCCAUUUCCCAUUUCAUUUCAUUUCUGGGCCCUGUGCCCUGGGAUUUUUGUGUCCCUGGUGAGGGAUUUGUUUGUGUUUUUAGGGCUGUCAGAGUCAUUCCGUGCUGUGCACGAGGGUGAGGCUGAAUUUAGCUCUCGCCAAAGCUGCAUUUAGGACUUUGUAAAAAAAGAAAACAGGAGCUAAACUCAGCCCUGAGCCUGGAUUAGCACAGCCAGGUGAUGGUUGUGGGGUGGGAGGGAGAUUUGUGGGGUGAGAGGGAGAUUUGUGGGGUUUGGGAGAAGUUUGUGGGCUCUGAGGGAGGUUUGUGGGGUCUGAGUGAGGUUUGUAGGGUGUGAGGGCCUUUUGUGGGCUCUGAGGGAGGUCUGUGGGCUCUGAGGGAGGUCUGUGGGAUCUGAGGGAGGUUUGUGGGAUCUGAGGGAGGUUUGUGGGGUCUGAGUGAGGUUUGUAGGGUGUGAGGGCCUUUUGUGGGCUCUGAGUGAGGUUUGUGGGGCAUGAGUGAGGUUUGUGGGGUCUGAGGGCCAUUUGUGGGAUCUGAGUGACAUUUGUAGGGUGUGAGGGCCUUUGGUGGGUUCUGUGGGAGGUUUGUGGGGUCUGAGUGACCUUUGUAGGGUGUGAGGGCCAUUUGUGGGCUCUGAGGGAGGUUUGUGGGCUCUGUGGGAAGUUUGUAGGGUCUGAGGGCCAUUUGUGGGAUCUGAGUGAUGUCUGUGGGGUCUGAGGGAGGUUUGUGGGGUCUGAGUGACCUUUGUAGGGUGUGAGGGCCAUUUGUGGGCUCUGUGGGAGGUUUGUGGGCUCUCUGGGAGGUUUGUGGCCUCUGAGGGAACCUCGUGGGGUUUGAGGCUGUUCCAGAACCUUCUGGCUGGCAGCAAAGCGCCUUCCCUGGGGCUCAUCCCUCCCCAGGCCGCUGGGGUUCCGUGCUCCUCUAACAACCCUGAAUUCAUUCUUCUCCUGCCAUCUCCCUGCCUACCUUGGCACGGCAGGAGCUCCAGGCCGGGCUGUGGGGCUGCACUGUCCCGUUUGUGGGGCCAGACCCGAGCCC